rnacentral:rRNA from 1 species
ACGAACGCUGGCGGCGUGCUUCACCCAUGCCAGUCGAACGGAAAGGCCCCUUUGGGGGUCCUCGAGUGGCGAACGGGUGAGUAACACGUGAGUAACCUGCCCUUGACUUCGGGAUAACUUCAGGAAACUGGGGCUAAUACCGGAUAGGAAUCCUUGCUGCAUGGUGGGGGUUGGAAAGCUUCGGCGGUUUUGGAUGGACUCGCGGCUUAUCAGCUUGUUGGUGGGGUAGUGGCUUACCAAGGCUUUGACGGGUAGCCGGCCUGAGAGGGCGACCGGCCACAUUGGGACUGAGAUACGGCCCAGACUCCUACGGGAGGCAGCAGUGGGGAAUAUUGCACAAGGGGCGGAAGCCUGAUGCAGCAACGCCGCGUGCGGGAUGACGGCCUUCGGGUUGUAAACCGCUUUCAGCAGGGGCGAAGCUUGUGGUGACGGUACCUGCAGAAGAAGCACCGGCUAACUACGUG